UGGGGAAUAUUGCACAAUGGGGGGAACCCUGAUGCAGCCAUGCCGCGUGAAUGAAGAAGGCCUUCGGGUUGUAAAGUUCUUUCGGUGACGAGGAAGGUUGGUAGGUUAAUAGCCUAUCAAAUUGACGUUAAUCACAGAAGAAGCACCGGCUAACUCCGUGCCAGCAGCCGCGGUAAUACGGGGGGUGCGAGCGUUAAUCGGAAUAACUGGGCGUAAAGGGCACGCGGGCGGUGACUUAAGUGAGAUGUGAAAGCCCCGAGCUUAACUUGGGAAUUGCAUUUCAUACUGGGUCGCUAGAGUACUUUAGGGAGGGGUAGAAUUCCACGUGUAGCGGUGAAAUGCGUAGAGAUGUGGAGGAAUACCGAAGGCGAAGGCAGCCCCUUGGGAAUGUACUGACGCUCAUGUGCGAAAGCGUGGGGAGCAAACAGGAUUAGAUACCCUGGUAGUCCACGCUGUAAACGAUGUCGAUUUGGGGGUUGGGCUUUGAGCUUGGUGCCCGUAGCUAACGUGAUAAAUCGACCGCCUGGGGAGUACGGCCGCAAGGUUA
rnacentral:rRNA from 1 species